rnacentral:rRNA from 1 species
CAGUCGCCGCGGUAAAACGAAGGGUGCAAGCGUUAAUCGGAAUUACUGGGCGUAAAGCGUGCGUAGGCGGUUUGUUAAGUCUGUUGUGAAAUCCCCGGGCUCAACCUGGGAAUGGCAAUGGAUACUGGCAAGCUAGAGUGUGUCAGAGGAUGGUGGAAUUCCCGGUGUAGCGGUGAAAUGCGUAGAGAUCGGGAGGAACAUCAGUGGCGAAGGCGGCCAUCUGGGACAACACUGACGCUGAGGCACGAAAGCGUGGGGAGCAAACAGGAUUAGAGACCCCUGUAGUCCCUGUCUCUUAUAC